rfam:Streptococcus agalactiae 2603V/R, complete genome.
AUCAAGGGAGUAGCAGACGGUUUACCGUGGCAAUGUCGUCAUUACGAAAGAAAUUUCCGGCGUUGUCUUAAACAGCGAGACUUGUUUUCAUAAAAACAGGUCUCUUUUU